CCCCUCUUUUCAGAUAAAAAGGGGUGGAGAAUGUAAAGAGAAAACUGAAAGUAAAAAACUGUAGAAAAAGUUUUUGAGACAAAGAGUUACUGGGAGUUAUCUGUCCAACACAGACACAUUAUCAAGCUGCUACUCCCCAGUCUAGCCAGGAUCAAUCUGCAGUCAUGGAGACAAAGCAGUAUGGUGCCCAAUUUGUGGAUGAUAACAUGGAAAAACUUGUUCAAAGGAUUACCAUGGUGAUGCCAAUAGCAGAUGGCCUAUACCAGAAGAAAAUGAUCCAUGAUGAGGAUUACUAUGAAAUCACUGCGGCCCAAACCAGUAUGUCAAAGAUGAGAAAGCUGUAUGUGGCCCUGAAACCAGGAGGAGUGGUGGCUAAAUCAGCCUUUUACAAAAUUCUACUGGACCAACAAUCUCUUCUAGUCGAAGAACUGGAUAAGCUCCUCUCUCUCCUCUUUUGGUGGGGUUGGCCAGAAAUGAAGUCAUAACUUGAGCGGCUUCUACAGUCAUGGUCUGGACUUCUAGGAACCUGCUGGCCCACUGCUCACUUUUUUCCAAAUCUUACUGUUGUCUCCCAACCACGUAUAUGUUUAAAUCUCACACAUUACAUCAGAAAUAGUGGUCCUAUCACACCACUGUUGUCAAACAACAAUUUGUAACAAAAUAAAUAGUGUUUUUUAAAUUAAUCACA